rnacentral:rRNA from 1 species
UACAGAGGGGGCAAGCGUUGUCCGGAUUUAUUGGGUUUAAAGGGUGCGUAGGCGGCCCGUUAAGUCAGUGGUGAAAGCCUCCAGCUCAACUGGAGAACUGCCAUUGAUACUGGCGGGCUUGAGUACAGACGAGGUUGGCGGAAUUGAUUGUGUAGCGGUGAAAUGCAUAGAUACAAUCAAGAACACCGAUUGCGUAGGCAGCUAACUAGGCUGUAACUGACGCUGAGGCACGAAAGCGUGGGGAGCGAACAGG